GAUGAACGCUGGCGGCGUGCCUAAUACAUGCAAGUCGAGCGAACAGACGAGGAGCUUGCUCCUCUGACGUUAGCGGCGGACGGGUGAGUAACACGUGGAUAACCUACCUAUAAGACUGGGAUAACUUCGGGAAACCGGAGCUAAUACCGGAUAAUAUAUUGAACCGCAUGGUUCAAUAGUGAAAGACGGUUUUGCUGUCACUUAUAGAUGGAUCCGCGCCGCAUUAGCUAGUUGGUAAGGUAGCGGCUUACCAAGGCAACGAUGCGUAGCCGACCUGAGAGGGUGAUCGGCCACACUGGAACUGAGACACGGUCCAGACUCCUACGGGAGGCAGCAGUAGGGAAUCUUCCGCAAUGGGCGAAAGCCUGACGGAGCAACGCCGCGUGAGUGAUGAAGGUCUUCGGAUCGUAAAACUCUGUUAUUAGGGAAGAACAAACGUGUAAGUAACUAUGCACGUCUUGACGGUACCUAAUCAGAAAGCCACGGCUAACUACGUG
rnacentral:rRNA from 1 species